GUGUUCGGUUUAACAUCCGAUUGAAAGGGGACUCUCCCGUGGGUGACAGCCCACAACGAAGCCGCGGCCUCACGCCUGCUGCAGCGGAGGCGACGACACCCGCACCCAGAAGAGCCCCGGGGGCCGCCACUGAUCCCCGGGACAAGAGGAGACCACAUCAUGAGCAACAAAUGCAGUAUACUAGACUGGAAGAAAUACAAGUGAAUCAGUGCUUCCCCUGGAAACUGCCACAACAAGGAAGUACUGGUGAAGAUAGAAGAGCCAAGGGGAACAAUCCCUUCAAAAUAAUGAAAGACCCAGGUGUAAUGAGAUUUGGAGCUGAGCAGUUCUGGCACAACUCAAACUGAACAACUUAUUGCUCUUCCUCUUCCUCUGAGUAGAAGGUGUAGGUGUCGGACAUCCUGUCAUCCAGCCGCCUUUGGCAGCAAUAUUCGAGGUGCGAGCGGUCCAGUCCCCAGUAAAUUAACUCGUUGUAAAAGGA